GAAUUACCAUAAGUCCUCAUAGUAAGUACUGUAGGUAUAUAUUCAUGAUGUCGAGAAAAACGCCCCUCAGACAAAUCACUGCAACUUUACCAGGUUAACGUAGCAACUAUCGAUCAUUUGAAGACAAAAUCUGGUGUAGUUAACAUCAUACUAGAUACGUAUGUUUGUCGUACAACAAAAUUGGAUUAUCCAACUCUCUUUUCUAUUCAAGGCUUCCUCACAUCUAUAAUUAGAAGUGAUCUGUCUAAAUUAGGCUGAUUUCAACUUGGCAGAUGAUGAUGCUAAAUAUGAAAGGGUUCUAUGCCCAACAAACAUCAAGAAGAUCCCCAAAAAUCCAAGCGCUUGGAGUGUUGUGAAUAGAUUCAGCUUCAACCAAAAUAGUAAAUAGAGUGUUAAGACAGCUGCUAUGCCAAGGUGGAAAAGAAUGGCAAAUGUAGCAAGUGCUGAUGCUUUUGGGAAGUUCUUCAGGUUGACUUGCAGCCUCAAAAGCCCGACCAAAAAUCCAAUAAAUGGCAAGAGAACAAGGGCCAAAAAGAUGAGAGAAAGCCCCUUAGGAGGUCUUUUCUCGGGAGCUCUGAAUAUGUGAGAUAUUUCUGCCUUGGGCCCAAAUCUUGAGGUAGAAUCAAUAGGUUGUGGAGGAGGGCGAGUUGCCUUUUCUGGAGGCUCCGGCAGAUCUAAUUCAAUUGAACCCAGUAGUAGGAAGAACGAGUUUUCCAUGACAGCAUCCCCAACUGUAAGUUGGAUGUCAUAUCUACCUGAUAGAUAGAAAAACUUCUCAACUAGUCCAAGAAAAUCUAGUAUUAUUUCAAAGUUUUUUCCAGAAUUUUCCACCACAAAGAUGUGUUCCACUUUGCUCUCAUGUCUCAACUUGAGGAAAGCCUGAUGUGGCUUAAAAACAUUCCCAAGAGGAGAAGUUAAUU
rnacentral:misc_RNA from 1 species